UGCAAGCAUGAGAUCUCGAGUUCAGAUCCCAGCACUCAAACAAAAAACAAAAAGCAAAAGAAAAAAACCUAGAUGUGGCCACACAUGCAUCCUAAUGCUGUAACCCCAAUGCUGUGGCAGAGGCAGGAGGAUUACUUGGCCAUGCUGGCUAACAGCCCAGCUCCAGGUUCAGUAAGGUUCUAUAUCAGAGGGAUAGGAUGGAUAGUGAUAGAGAGGGAUACUUGAUCUCCUUCUCCAGGCUACGUUCACAUAUAGGCACACUCAGCUGCACAAACAAGCCACAGACACACAGACACACACACACACAGACAGACACACACAUGCACACACGCACGCACGCGCAUAUGACCUCUUUGCUGGUAUUGCCAACCACAUCAGGAUCUCUCAGCCUCCCCUCCUGCCUCCUCAACAGUCCCCUCUCAGACAGGACAAAGCUCCCCCACCAGCCUCUCCCACCUCACAGAUUAUGCCAAUGAAAUCUGUGUUCCUACCUAAAACCUUUUUCUUCCUUGAAAAGCCGUGCUCUUGCAAAGAAAGCCUCCAAGCUUCCAGAGCACUGCCUUUGCUGUGAGCUUUUCAACAUUCUCCUGGAGAGGCCAUUGAUUUAUUUGUUCUUAGCUCCCUGUCCGCAGUCCCCCUGAGGCAGCCAGGGCCCCUGACUCAACAGGCAGAGGCCAUAGAGCCAGGAGAAAAUGAAGGGAAGAGAUCAAAAAGCUUGGUUCCAGCUCCGAAAUGCAUCUCAUCAGAAUUGUACCAGCUGCAUGGUGUAGGGAGAGUUACAGCAGGAGGCAGGGCACACACAGGGCCAGCUUUCCCCUCUGCACUGCCUGCCUUCCAGUCUGGUGGGCACACCUGGGCUGCCCCACCGGGCCUACCCAGCAUUCCCUGCUCAUAAGUGAAGCUCAUUUGGGUCUAGCCAGGAUGCCAUGUUACAUCCAAGCAGCCCUUAUUGUAUAUAGGUGAGGUGAGAGGUAACACAGGUCAGGUGGGGAUGUCUACAGGUGAGGUAGAUGGAGGUAUGGACAGAUGGCUAAGUGGAUAGGUGGGAUUGGAUGGUUGAUGAGUGAAUAAUAGAUAAGUGAGUGGGUGAUGAUGAAUGGAUGAUGGAUGGAUGAAUAAUGAAUAGAUGAUACACGAGUAAUGGAUGAGUGGAUGGAAAAAUUAUAUAGGUGAAUGGAUGGAUGAUAGAUGUUUGAGAGAUGUAUGGAUGAUGAAUGAAUGGAUAGAUGAUGAAUA
rnacentral:lncRNA from 1 species